AGAGUUUGAUCCUGGCUCAGAACGAACGCUGGCGGCAUGCUUAACACAUGCAAGUCGAACGCUCCGCAAGGGGAGUGGCGCACGGGUGAGUAACGCGUGGGAACCUGCCUCUCGGUUUGGAAUAACUGCGGGAAACUGCAGCUAAUACCGGAUACGUCGGGCCGCUGUGGUGGUGGCCUGGGAAAGAUUUAUCGCCGAGA
rnacentral:rRNA from 1 species